rnacentral:rRNA from 1 species
AGAGUUUGAUCAUGGCUCAGAUUGAACGCUGGCGGCAGGCCUAACACAUGCAAGUCGAACGGUAACAGGAAGAAGCUUGCUUCUUUGCUGACGAGUGGCGGACGGGUGAGUAAUGUCUGGGAAACUGCCUGAUGGAGGGGGAUAACUACUGGAAACGGUAGCUAAUACCGCAUAACGUCGCAAGACCAAAGAGGGGGACCUUCGGGCCUCUUGCCAUCGGAUGUGCCCAGAUGGGAUUAGCUAGUAGGUGGGGUAACGGCUCACCUAGGCGACGAUCCCUAGCUGGUCUGAGAGGAUGACCAGCCACACUGGAACUGAGACACGGUCCAGACUCCUACGGGAGGCAGCAGUGGGGAAUAUUGCACAAUGGGCGCAAGCCUGAUGCAGCCAUGCCGCGUGUAUGAAGAAGGCCUUCGGGUUGUAAAGUACCUUCAGCGGGGAGGAAGGGAGUAAAGUUAAUACCUUUGCUCAUUGACGUUACCCGCAGAAGAAGCACCGGCUAACUCCGUGCCAGCAGCCGCGGUAAUACGGAGGGUGCAAGCGUUAAUCGGAAUUACUGGACGUAAAGCGCACGCAGGCGGUUUGUUAAGUCAGAUGUGAAAUCCCCGGGCUCAACCUGGGAACUGCAUCUGAUACUGGCAAGCUUGAGUCUCGUAGAGGGGGGUAGAAUUCCAGGUGUAGCGGUGAAAUGCGUAGAGAUCUGGAGGAAUACCGGUGGCGAAGGCGGCCCCCUGGACGAAGACUGACGCUCAGGUGCGAAAGCGUGGGGAGCAAACAGGAUUAGAUACCCUGGUAGUCCACGCCGUAAACGAUGUCGACUUGGAGGUUGUGCCCUUGAGGCGUGGCUUCCGGAGCUAACGCGUUAAGUCGACCGCCUGGGGAGUACGGCCGCAAGGUUAAAACUCAAAUGAAUUGACGGGGGCCCGCACAAGCGGUGGAGCAUGUGGUUUAAUUCGAUGCAACGCGAAGAACCUUACCUGGUCUUGACAUACACGGAAGUUUUCAGAGAUGAGAAUGUGCCUUCGGGAACCGUGAGACAGGUGCUGCAUGGCUGUCGUCAGCUCGUGUUGUGAAAUGUUGGGUUAAGUCCCGCAACGAGCGCAACCCUUAUCCUUUGUUGCCAGCGGUCCGGCCGGGAACUCAAAGGAGACUGCCAGUGAUAAACUGGAGGAAGGUGGGGAUGACGUCAAGUCAUCAUGGCCCUUACGACCUGGGCUACACACGUGCUACAAUGGCGCAUACAAAGAGAAGCGACCUCGCGAGAGCAAGCGGACCUCAUAAAGUGCGUCGUAGUCCGGAUUGGAGUCUGCAACUCGACUCCAUGAAGUCGGAAUCGCUAGUAAUCGUGGAUCAGAAUGCCACGGUGAAUACGUUCCCGGGCCUUGUACACACCGCCCGUCACACCAUGGGAGUGGGUUGCAAAAGAAGUAGGUAGCUUAACCUUCGGGAGGGCGCUUACCACUUUGUGAUUCAUGACUGGGGUGAAGUCGUAACAAGGUAACCGUAGGGGAACCUGCGGUUG